UACGUAGGGUGCAAGCGUUAAUCGGAAUUACUGGGCGUAAAGCGUGCGCAGGCGGUUAUGCAAGACAGAUGUGAAAUCCCUCGGCUUAACCGGGGAACUGCGUCUGAUACUGGAUGGCUUGAGAUUGGGAGAGGGAUGCGGAAUUCCAGGUGUAGCGGUGAAAUGCGUAGAUAUCUGGAGGAACACCGGUGGCGAAGGCGGCAUCCUGGACCAACACUGACGCUGAGGAGCGAAAGCCAGGGGAGCAAACGGG
rnacentral:rRNA from 1 species